rnacentral:tRNA from 1 species
GGCGCAUUAGUAAAUSAUAUUACGUGGCCUUGUCAAGACCAAAUCACAGGUGAAAUCCCUGUACRCCCCA